rnacentral:rRNA from 1 species
GACGAACGCUGGCGGCGUGCUUAACACAUGCAAUUCGAACGGAAAGGCCCUGCUUUUGUGGGGUGCUCGAGUGGCGAACGGGUGAGUAACACGUGAGUAACCUGCCCUUGACUUUGGGAUAACUUCAGGAAACUGGGGCUAAUACCGGAUAGGAGCUCCUGCUGCAUGGUGGGGGUUGGAAAGUUUCGGCGGUUGGGGAUGGACUCGCGGCUUAUCAGCUUGUUGGUGGGGUAGUGGCUUACCAAGGCUUUGACGGGUAGCCGGCCUGAGAGGGUGACCGGCCACAUUGGGACUGAGAUACGGCCCAGACGCCGACGGGAGGCAGCAGUGGGGAAUAUUGCACAAUGGGCGGAAGCCUGAUGCAGCAACGCCGCGUGCGGGAUGACGGCCUUCGGGUUGUAAACCGCUUUCGCCUGUGACGAAGCGUGAGUGACGGUAAUGGGUAAAGAAGCACCGGCUAACUACGUG